AUUGAACGCUGGCGGAAUGCUUUACACAUGCAAGUCGAGCGGCAGCGCGGCCUUCGGGCUGGCGGCGAGCGGCGAACGGGUGAGUAAUGCAUCGGAACAUGCCCAGUCGUGGGGGAUAACACUUCGAAAGAAGUGCUAAUACCGCAUACGUCCUGAGGGGGAAAGCGGGGGAUCGCAAGACCUCGCGCGAUUGGAGUGGCCGAUGUCAGAUUAGCUAGUUGGUGGGGUAAAGGCCUACCAAGGCGACGAUCUGUAGCUGGUCUGAGAGGAUGAUCAGCCACACUGGGACUGAGACACGGCCCAGACUCCUACGGGAGGCAGCAGUGGGGAAUUUUGGACAAUGGGGGCAACCCCGAUCCAGCCAUUCCGCGUGAGUGAAGAAGGCCUUCGGGUUGUAAAGCUCUUUCGGCAGGAACGAAACGGUGGGCUCUAACAUAGUCCGCUAAUGACGGUACCUGAAGAAGAAGCACCGGCUAACUACGUG
rnacentral:rRNA from 1 species